CCCCGCCCUGCUCUCGUACAUCGCCGUCCGGAGCUGCAGGAGGGGCAGUGAGGCGUUGGAGCAGUAGGCCCGUCGGGCAGGCCGGACCUCCUCGUCCAAAGUUUGAAUUUUCUUGCUUUGUUCUGCAGCAUUGGCUUCCAAAUAGAUAGAAUCGAAAAAAAUCUGUACGAGACGCUUUCCAAAUUAUGCAGAGUCCAACUUGUUGUGCAGCGAUUGUUAGUUUGGUUAAUUAUUUGGGAUGUGCUUUGUUGAGCACUGCGUAAUAUUUCUGAUGCAUGGUACCAGUUCAGAAUUUCAGUGCCUUACCAUCACUUGUGUGUCAACUCAAAUCGAUUCCUUGUGAAUGUAUCUACAUGGUUGUUCAAGGAGGAGUGCUUGUUGUCCUAGAUAUUACCUACAUUAGUAUUUGUUCUUCACUGAUAUAGGGCAGCAUAGUACGUCUACUGGGAGUGUUUGCUCUGCGAUAAUGUGGUACAUCUAAUAGCAUUUUAACAUGAUGCCACCAAUUUCGGUCGAAGAAUAUGCGAGAAGCAAGCAAUCUGAUUUGUGAUGAUCUGGUUUAUGAAUUUGAUCUAGUCGCUUUUGUGUGCUUCAGAUUAGUAAUAUUAGUCAUGUAAUCUUUGUGCUAGCAAACUGUUGGUAUCUGCACCUAAGUAGUUAACUAAAUCCAAGUGUUUAAUACUAGUUUCCUGACCGGUUGCUGUAAUUAGUUACUAGCUGAAAUAGUUUUUAUGUAGGUGGACAGUGUAGUUCUAUCAGCUGCUAGUGUUCUAGCUUUAGUAUGAAAGGAGGUAGCAUUUGUAGCUAGAUAAUUUUAUCAUGUUACAGAGUUCACUUGUGCUAUUUGAUAUCCUAUCUUUCUUGAGCAGCCGGAGGAGUGGACGGGUUGGACAAGUCGGUGAACAAGUUUCCGGAGCACUAUGCCUGCCAGUCCAGCACCUUCUUUUGCUCUGUGCUGGACCUCGCCGACAUCGAUAGUCAAAGGUGCCUAUUUUGGGCUUUGCGUUUGUGACCGGACAUGUUAAUACGAGUGUCCAGGUUAUGUCGAUGGCUGGCCGGAUGUGCUCGCCUCCGGCUUCUGAGCUUCGUUCUGCGGCGGUAUAUGCCUUUAAUUUGGAGUAAGUGUUUGUUGUAGAAUCCGGGUGAGCUAGAGAAGCUUGCUGUAAUUGUACGUUUGCAUUUGUUCUUAGAUGAACUUAAUUGUGGUGGAGUGUAUCAUGUAUUGAAAUAUCUCUAGAGUGUUGCUGCUUUAUGCAUUUAAUUAUAUUUUGUGGUGUUUGAUCCUGAAACUUUGUAAGUAUAAUUGAAAAAUGCUAGGUUGCUCAUGUGACGGGUAAAAGAA